rnacentral:rRNA from 1 species
AGGAUAAACGCUGGCGGCGUGCCUAACACAUGCAAGUCGAACGCGCUUUCGGGCUUCGGUGCGAGAGCGAGUGGCGGACGGGUGAGUAACACAUGGGUACCUACCUUGGAGUGAGGGAUACCGGCGAGAAAUCGCCGACAAUACCGCAUAGGCUUCUUCACAAGGGAAGCAAAGUGACGCGAGUCACGCUUUGAGAUGGGCCUGUGGCCGAUUAGCUAGUUGGGGGGGUAACGGCUUCCCAAGGCGACGAUCGGUAGCUGGUCUGAGAGGACGAUCAGCCACACUGGGAUUGAGAACGGCCCAGACUCCUACGGGGGGCAGCAGUGAGGAAUUUUCCGCAAUGGAGGCAACUCUGACGGAGCAACGCCGCGUGCAGGAGGAAGGUUUUCGGAUCGUAAACUGCUUUUCUCGGGGACGAGCAAGGACGGUACCCGAGGAAGAAGCCCGGCUAACGUACGCGCCAGCAGCCGC